rnacentral:rRNA from 1 species
UGCCAGCCGCCGCGGUAAUACGGAGGGUGCAAGCGUUAAUCGGAAUCACUGGGCGUAAAGAGCACGUAGGCGGCUAAGUUAGUCGGGUGUGAAAUCCCCGGGCUCAACCCGGGAACUGCAUUCGAAACUGGCAAACUAGAGUACGUGAGAGGGAAGCGGAAUUCCUGGUGUAGAGGUGAAAUUCGUAGAUAUCAGGAGGAACACCGGUGGCGAAGGCGGCUUCCUGGCACGAUACUGACGCUCAUGUGCGAAAGCGUGGGGAGCAAACAGGAUUAGAUA